UACGGAGGGGGCGAGCGUUAUUCGGAAUCAUUGGGCGUAAAGGGCGCGUAGGCGGCCCGGUAAGUCAAAGGUGAAAUCCCUCGGCUCAACUGAGGAACUGCCUUUGAAACUGUCGGGCUUGAGGCCGGGAGGGGGUGGCGGAAUUCCCAGUGUAGCGGUGAAAUGCGUAGAUAUUGGGAGGAACACCAAUAGCGAAGGCAGCUCGCUGGGACGUUACUGACACUGAGGCGCGAAAGCGUGGGGAGCGAACAGG
rnacentral:rRNA from 1 species